AGAAAAUGUAGCACUGAAGCUUCCUCCAGUGUGAUGGGAGAGCCGGGCUGGAACCUGGGUUGUGGUCAUGACAGAGUGGGUGCUCUAUCCAGGUACCAAGUUGCAGAUGCUACUAGGAUUCCAUUCUGACUUCCCUGGGCAGAUGACCUCACCGAUAUGUCCUGAAGUCUCACCUCUCCAGAGCCCUACCCAACUACGGAAAGAUAAAAACAGGCAGGGGCAUGGAUGGAACUAGAGGGAAUCAUGCUGAGCAAAACAAGUUGGAAGAAGAAAAUAUGCCGAAUGAUCUCACUCAUAGUUGGAAGCUAAAAAACCAAAGCCAAGAGCAAUAGAAGGUGAGUCCCCAAUGGACUAUAAUCUGCAACAGAUCUGAGACUCAGAAGGGCAUAGAAGGGUACUAAGGGGAAGAUGAAGAUGUAAAUUUAUGAUUGUAGAACAAACCGAUAGAAUAAGUUGAUAGUUUGGUUGACGGUGAAUACACUAAGACUCAGAGAAAUGGGGAAAUGUCGCCUGUGACAACAACAAUCCUGCAAGUCACUAGCUCUCAAUAAUGUGAUACUGGGAAAUAAGAAAUGUCUUAAACAUCACAUUGGUGCUGUGAUAAAUGUGACCCAGCAUGAUUGCCAUGAGCUUUUUUUUAAUUCUUCCUCUCCCCUUACUCCAGAUUGCUAUCUAUGCUCUUCCUUGAUGCUUUUUUUAAAUUAUUUUUUCUGUUUUAAUAACCUGAUCAUUUGACUGUCACAACAUUCAGCAUUUUCUUUCUUUUUUUUUUUUUUUUUUGAAAGGAUACAGGCACCUCCAUCUUCAUAGAGGCUUUAUUCACAAUAGCAAAAACCCGGAAACAACUUUUGACAGAUGACUGGAUAAAAAAAGUUCUGGGACAUACACUCAACAGAGUAUUAUGCAAUAAAAAGGGAUGAUUGUGUCCUUUGCGACGAAGUGGGUGGAAUUGGAGACGAUGCUCAGUGAAAUCAGUCAGGAGGU